UUUAAUAAAGGAGAGACUCUCUCGUCGAGCACUGUAGUGGUUGAUCGCUAACCACUAUCCGUAUUAGAGCAGGGACGCUUGAUGGAAGGAAAAAUGUCGUUACAGAAGACGCUUCUGCAUGUGUUUGGAAUGUACUUAAGAGGGCUCUUCCCCUACACGAUGUCCAAGUUUUACUGCACGACUUCAAAGAUUGGAGUUACCUCCUCGACAUAACCACCCAAACGGAAAUGCUUACAGCAGUAGCAGAGUGGUUCGGGCCUUGGCAGAAAUAAAAAAUCCGUAGUUUGAAGUUGCCAUCUUUCAUUGGAAAACCUCUGGUGGGACAACACAAGUCGGUGGCUGUUACUGGAUCGAAAUGAACGUUUACCAUUUGAUUGUAGACAGAAAACACAUUUGCCGACUCUUCAAGACCCUCAGAGCACGCGCUCUUAUCUUGCAUGUAAAAAAGAAGGAGUAAAGAGGAGUUAAACAUUGCACAGCUGCGCUUGAAGUCCCAGCAGCCCAGCAGCAUUUUUAGAAAACACGAUAUUGCACAACUAGGGUAUGGCACUUCAAGCUUCCAACUGGAUGUGAAACUUACUACAAUUCGUAGAUAUCUCGUAAGAAAAAUUGGCAGGGUUGUAAAAGUUAUAUAGAUUUCGAUAUGCCGAAUAGUACAUCAUCAUCGGGCUAUUCACAGUAAUAGUAACAGAAAAAAUCGACAGAAACACCCCCUAAAACAAAUAACGAUAGAAAACUACAUAUUGAAAAUUGGCAACGUUUCCAUUUUCAACAGAAUUGCAGAAGGGAAACUGACAACGUUGCAGAAAUUAUAUUGGUAUUAUGACGAAUAAACUACUAUAAUGUAAUUUUAGAACAUCGUGCUAUACACAGCAAUAUUAACAGAUAAAAUCGAUAAAAAUACCGGAUGAUUUAUUAUAAAGAUAGGAAACCAUAUAGUGAAAAGUGGCAACGUUUCUAUUUUCAAAAGAAUUCAAAGUAACGCUUUAAAAUCUGUUCAAUAUUACGUCCUUUCAACAUUCAUGGCGACCAUUAUACUCAAAAUCUAAAAAUAAAUCUAUGAACGGUUUUUCCUGAGAACGAAAAUUGGCAACGUCGCAAAAUUAACAUGUGUUAUCUAAUACUUCUAAAAUUAAAUCAGAACUA